UACGUAGGGGGCUAGCGUUGCUCGGAAUUACUGGGCGUAAAGCGCACGUAGGCGGAUUGUUAAGUCGGGGGUGAAAUCCUGGAGCUCAACUCCAGAACUGCCUUCGAUACUGGCGAUCUCGAGUUCGGGAGAGGUGAGUGGAACUGCGAGUGUAGAGGUGAAAUUCGUAGAUAUUCGCAAGAACACCAGUGGCGAAGGCGGCUCACUGGCCCGAUACUGACGCUGAGGUGCGAAAGCGUGGGGAGCGAACUGG
rnacentral:rRNA from 1 species